UACGUAGGGGGCAAGCGUUGUCCGGAUUUAUUGGGCGUAAAGAGCGUGUAGGCGGCUUUACAGGUCCGUUGUGAAAACUCGAGGCUCAACCUCGAGACGCCGGUGGAAACCGUAAAGCUAGAGUCCGGAAGAGGAGAGUGGAAUUCCUGGUGUAGCGGUGAAAUGCGCAGAUAUCAGGAGGAACACCCGUGGCGAAGGCGGCUUCCUGGCCUGUUCUUGACGCUGAGGCGCGAAAGCUAGGGGAGCAAACGGG
rnacentral:rRNA from 1 species